GAGUUUGAUUCUGGCUCAGGAUGAACGCUAGCGGCAGGCCUAACACAUGCAAGUCGAACGGUAACAUAGAGUGCUUGCACUUUGAUGACGAGUGGCGCAGGGGUGCGUAACGCGUAUACAAUCUACCUUUUACAGGGGGAUAUUAAAAGAAGAAAUUUGGAUUAAUACCCCAUGGCAUGCACAAUUGGCAUCGGUUGUGCAUUAAAACUUCGGUGGUAAGAGAUGAGUAUGCGUUCUAUUAGCUAGUAGGUGUGGUAACGGCACACCUAGGCAACGAUAGAUAGGGGCCCUGAGAGGGGGAUCCCCCACACUGGUACUGAGACACGGACCAGACUCCUACGGGAGGCAGCAGUGAGGAAUAUUGGACAAUGGGCGGAAGCCUGAUCCAGCCAUGCCGCGUGCAGGAAGACUGCCCUAUGGGUUGUAAACUGCUUUUAUACAGGAAGAAACCCACCUACGUGUAGGUGGCUGACGGUACUGUAAGAAUAAGGAUCGGCUAACUCCGUGCCAGCAGCCGCGGUAAUACGGAGGAUCCGAGCGUUAUCCGAAUCUUGGGUUUAAAGGGUCCGUAGGUGGAUAAUAAGUCAGGGGUG
rnacentral:rRNA from 1 species